UACGUAGGUGGCAAGCGUUGUCCGGAAUCACUGGGCGUAAAGCGCGCGCAGGCGGCGAUCUACGUCUGGGGUGAAAGCCCGGAGCUCAACUCCGGGACUGCCUUGGAUACGGGAUCGCUUGAGAAUUGGAGAGGCAAGGGGAAUUCCACGUGUAGCGGUGAAAUGCGUAGAUAUCUGGAGGAACACCGGUGGCGAAGGCGGCAUCCUGGACCAACACUGACACUGAGGAGCGAAAGCCAGGGGAGCAAACGGG
rnacentral:rRNA from 1 species